rnacentral:rRNA from 1 species
GACGAACGCUGGCGGCGUGCCUAAUACAUGCAAGUCGAACGAGAGCAACCGGUGCUUGCACUGUUCAAUCUAGUGGCGAACGGGUGAGUAACACGUGGGUAACCUGCCCAUCAGAGGGGGAUAACAUCCGGAAACGGAUGCUAAAACCGCAUAGGUCUUCGAACCGCAUGGUUUGAAGAGGAAAAGAGGCGCAAGCUUCUGCUGAUGGAUGGACCCGCGGUGCAUUAGCUAGUUGGUGAGGUAACGGCUCACCAAGGCCGUGAUGCAUAGCCGACCUGAGAGGGUGAUCGGCCACAUUGGGACUGAGACACGGCCCACACUCCUACGGGAGGCAGCAGUAGGGAAUAUUCCGCAAUGGACGCAAGUCUGACGGAGCAACGCCGCGUGAGUGAAGAAGGUUUUCGGAUCGUAAAACUCUGUUGUUAGAGAAGAACAAGUGCUAGAGUAACUGUUAGCGCCUUGACGGUAUCUAACCAGAAAGCCACGGCUAACUACGUG